rnacentral:lncRNA from 1 species
CCUGCCAGCACUGGCUCUGUCGUUUCUUUGUAGUCCCAGGCGAUGACUUAAGUUUUCCUUGUCUCACAACGUAGACCAGGGCCGUGGUGUGUUGUUGAGUAGCGGCUUCCAGGGUUACCAAGCGGUGUCUGUUCUGAACAUUUCUAGUUAACAGAGGAGGAAACUGAGGCACAGAGAGUCCAGGUGAUUUCUCCCACAGGAGGAUAAUUGGCAGUCAGAACUACAGCUUGCACACUUUCUCCUCUGUGUCAGAAAGUUCUGACUCCGGGUGUUACAAGGAUGUGUUUGCUGAGCUGAGCUGAGCUGAGCUGAGCUGAGCUGAGCUGAGUGGAGGGUUGUGCCAAGAAUUGAUGGCCAGGCAGGGCCAGAACUCAGCCUUCCCUCCGGGGUUUCCUUUGCUUCAGAGCCAAGGGUGUGGAGGAGAGCCCAGGCCUCCGGGUGAAGCCCUGUCCUCUGGCACCCAGUACUGUGAAGUGAGUGUCAAGCCGUGGUCUGCCAAGGGGCUGCCCUCAUCGAGCCUGUUAUCUUGAGCAAAAUCACAGAAGAGUUCUGGGGAGCUGUUGUGGGGCAAGGUAGGGGCCAGCUACUCAGAAGUCCAGGAAAGGGGGUGGCGACGGCAGAGGAGGGCCUCCCCACCCUUUACAACACCCCCCUUCCUUGCCUGAGGGGGUGUCAGCUAAGACGACUUUUCAGGGGAAGAAGGCCCAUAAAUCAAAUAAGCAAUCCCGUAAAUAAAUAAGUAAUGAAGUUAGUGGGGUGCCUAAUUACAUCAGAGUCGUAAUUACGGAUGGAUGCCUGCCCGAUAAUUGUACUUGUUUUUAUUCUUUGGCUCCGACUUGUGUCUCCUCCAGGCAGAGGAGGCGCUGUUUCGGGGCCUUUGUGGGCCUAGUGGUUGGGUAUGUGGGUGCCACUGCCGUCCAUCUGCACAGGGUUGUGUGCUGGGUUGGACUUGGCUUUGUCCCAUGGUCGGCUCUGUAAGCCGACUCCAGUUCUGAAGUCACCAGGAGUGGAGACAAUGACAGGGAUGAUAGUAGCAACAGGGUUUUUAAUAGCACCCACAGUGCAGUUAAUGAUAGCUUAUUUAACCUCCAAACCCUCUGAGUACUAUCAUCAUCCCCUCUUUAUGCAUGAGACACAGGCACAGAGAGGUUUAGUACCUCCCCCGAAGUCACGCAGCUCGUAAGCCUGGGUCCUUCCCGCCUCAUCCUUUUAGGUUAUCCUGUGUGGGGCAUCCUAGGUACGUUCCCUGCAUUGAGCGGCAGUGGGAGCAAUUCCUGUCUUGAUUCCACAGUGAAGUUAUUCUGAGCUGUGGAUGACCUUGCAUCCCACUAAGGACAAAGCUAGGUAGCUUCGGGUCUCCUCCCUCUGAUAGGCAUCAUCGUGCCCAUUCUACAGUGACAGGAGGCCAGGGGCAGGGGAGUAAGUCCAGAGUGGGCCCCCACACUGCUGGCGAGGGCCAACAACUCCCUGGUGUAAGAGCAAAGCUGGAGGUGGGGUGGAGCUGGAGCCCGUGAUGGUGACAGGACAGGGUGGGGAAUGACAUGACCGUGCCCCGGGUCGGUUGGAGGUGACUCAGCCAUGUGGCGUUGGGGUGCCUUUCACACGGGGGAACAGAAUCUGGGUCUGUCAUGGGCUUUACCCUGACUUCAGGAAUUCACUUGCAUUUGAGCAUGUGAAAGGCCAGAGCGUGGGACAGGUCGGCACUGUGAAUGCCCUGAAGGACUAUUGGACUCCCAAGUGUCAGAGAGGCUGAUGAGGCCCAAAAGGUGUGGAUGAGGCAUGAACCCUAGGUUAGGGCCACCUAGGGCUCCUGAGGUCAGGGGCCGGUGCACGGAGGUCACACUAGGCACCAGAGGGAAGUAACUGAUGGGUGCUCAGAGUGGAAAGUCCCGAAGAGGACAUGUUGAGGCACAGCUGAACCAGCUGGGUCCAGGAGUACAGACACCGCCUUGGGGGAGCUGCCACUGGCAUAGCUCUCUUUCCUUCUGUGGUGCUCGCCCUUACCAACAGCUCACUCCUGCCACCCCAGGGGAAGGAGAGGCACCCAGGGCCCAGGAGGGUGUGACUUCCUUACCUGUCUUCUCCCCAGUGAAUUCUUUAACACCUUUCUUCCCCUGCAGGGAGAGGUGGCUAAGGGUGGUAGUCGAGGUGUGUUUAGGGUGUCCCAGACUCAGGAAGCCAGGCAGUGAGCUUAGGCCCGGGGUUGGGGUUGAGCACACUGCCAGACGCUCCGAGCAAAGGUAGCUGGACAGCAGCAUUUACGUGAUGUGUCUGAAGUCAGAAAACUGCAGCCAUGUGGGCCAGAGCCUUCUUGUUGGGGUAAGCUGUCUCCUCUUCUUCCUCUUCCUCCUCCUCCUCCUUUUUU